rnacentral:rRNA from 1 species
UACGUAGGGACCGAGCGUUGUCCGGAAUCAUUGGGCGUAAAGAGCGUGUAGGCGGCCAUGCAGGUCAGCUGUGAAAACUCGAGGCUCAACCUCGAGACGUCGGUUGAAACCGUAUGGCUAGAGUCCGGAAGAGGAGAGUGGAAUUCCCGGUGUAGCGGUGAAAUGCGCAGAUAUCGGGAAGAACACCUAUGGCGAAGGCAGCUCUCUGGGACGGUACUGACGCUGAGACGCGAAAGCGUGGGGAGCGAACAGG